ACCUCACUUGUGGGGGGAUUAGUGGCGAACGGGUGAGUAACACGUGAGUAACCUGCCCUUAACUCUGGGAUAAGCCUGGGAAACUGGGUCUAAUACCGGAUAUGACUCCUCAUCGCAUGGUGGGGGGUGGAAAGCUUUUUGUGGUUUUGGAUGGACUCGCGGCCUAUCAGCUUGUUGGUGAGGUAAUGGCUUACCAAGGCGACGACGGGUAGCCGGCCUGAGAGGGUGACCGGCCACACUGGGACUGAGACACGGCCCAGACUCCUACGGGAGGCAGCAGUGGGGAAUAUUGCACAAUGGGCGCAAGCCUGAUGCAGCGACGCCGCGUGAGGGAUGACGGCCUUCGGGUUGUAAACCUCUUUCAGUAGGGAAGAAGCGAAAGUGACGGUACCUGCAGAAGAAGCGCCGGCUAACUACGUGCCAGCAGCCGCGGUAAUACGUAGGGCGCAAGCGUUAUCCGGAAUUAUUGGGCGUAAAGAGCUCGUAGGCGGUUUGUCGCGUCUGCCGUGAAAGUCCGGGGCUCAACUCCGGAUCUGCGGUGGGUACGGGCAGACUAGAGUGAUGUAGGGGAGACUGGAAUUCCUGGUGUAGCGGUGAAAUGCGCAGAUAUCAGGAGGAACACCGAUGGCGAAGGCAGGUCUCUGGGCAUUAACUGACGCUGAGGAGCGAAAGCAUGGGGAGCGAACAGGAUUAG
rnacentral:rRNA from 1 species